rfam:TNVERIFIED: Cronobacter phage S13, complete genome.
GGAGAGUUGGCAGAGUUUGGUUUAUUGCACCUGACUUGAAAUCAGACGAUCCCCUAAAAAGGGUCCGUGGGUUCGAAUCCCACACUCUCCU